CCAAACUUGGUCAUUUAGAGGAAGUAAAAGUCGUAACAAGGUCUCCGUAGGUGAACCUGCGGAGGGAUCAUUACAAGAAAGAGUUUUGCAAGAGACUCGAAAACCACCGCGAAACAUACCUCGUUGUCGUUGCUUCGGCGGGCGGCCCCAGGCGGGGCCGCGGCCCCCUUCUAGGGGCGCCCGCCGGAGGGACCGAAACACUCUGUUUUCUUCAGCGUCUCCUCUGAGUACGACUAGCGAAAUAAGUCAAAACUUUCAACAACGGAUCUCUUGGUUCUGGCAUCGAUGAAGAACGCAGC
rnacentral:misc_RNA from 1 species